rnacentral:lncRNA from 1 species
CAACAUGAGCCUCUAUUAUCUGCUUUGUGCCGUGCUACUUCCCUUUAUACAGCCCAAGCUUCUCUGAACUGGGCCACUUCCUCCUCCCCAUUUCUUCCCAGCUCUAGUCUAAACUCCACUUGGAAGAUGUACUCUCCAUCUCUCCGUACCCCUCUUUAUUCCAUUUCAAGCCCUCCCACCUCUCAAGGAGAAUAGGAGGGGAAAGAAGCUGAUUCAUUCUCUCUCCUCUGUUAAUUAAGAACAAUCAGAGCUUUGUUUCUACAACACAAUAUAGAGGUAACAAUAUUCAGAUAAGCAAAGGAGGGCCUUUAACUGGGGUGUAACGAAAGAGGUAUUUUUUAUGCAAAGAAUAUAAAGAGAGAAUAAUCAAAUAGAUGCAAUAAAAAAUGAUAAAGGGGAUAUCACCACCGAUCCCACAGAAAUACAAACUACCAUCAGAGAAUACUACAAACACCUGUACACAAAUAAACUAGAAAAUCUAGAAGAAAUGGAUAAAUUCCUCGACACAUACACUCUCCCAAGACUAAACCAGGAAGAAGUUGAAUAUCUGAAUAGGAAAUAGGUUGCAAUGAAGAAAAAUAAAGCUGAGUGAGGAGAAAGAAAUUCAUCUCUAACAUCCCAGCAAGUGAAUAAAUGUCAUUAUAUAAAAGAAACUGAAAACAGAAAAAGGUGGUAUUAUGGGUAUCUUAAAAAUGUAAGCUAACCCCAGUAAUUCAAUUUUUGAGAAGGAAAAAAUACCUCUACCUCUCUAUCUACAUGGCACCCCAAAAAGUUCCAUAUGUGGUUGAAGAACCCUUCCAUAAAAGGUGAGAAGAAUCAAGUCUCUGUGUGCUGACCCCCAUAAUCUUAACUGUAAUGGUUGGUUGGAUCCAGUUGAUGCCUAUUCUUCUCCCUGAGGUCUUUAGGAAGACAUCCAAACAAUUUCUGAGAAGAAGCGCACAUGGAAAUUGACUGUACACUGUCUCCUUGGCUGUAAACUCAAGCAUGUAGGUAAAAUAAACUACAGAAAAUAUGCCCUCUACUUCUGAUUUAAAUUUGAAUGCCCCCUCAUGAGUGAAAUGGUAAAAAUCCAGCCUGGUUACAUUCAGAGCUGCUUCUUUUCUCGUCUUGGUUCUGGGUCACCCUCUGUUGGAACUUCUUCCAUACGCAGGCCAUCAGCAUGGUCCGAAUAAUCAGAAUGAUCACAGUCCUUCCAUCAGAGCUUUAGUGCUGUCCUCCCUAAUCUGAGAGUUGUAAGCCAUCUCUCUCUACCUACACAGCAUACAGAUCAUGGUUAAUAAGAGCAAGCCCCAGGCCACUCAAGCUCCAUUCACAUCACAGGCUCAGGACACUCUCAUUUCCCUCCUGGCCUUUUCUUGUGUCUUUGGAAGGUCUACGUGGCUUCUGACUCAAGCUUUGCUGUCCAUUUUUGGUCCUAAUUCUAUCCAUUGGACUUGAAGAUUCAUCUUGUUUUCUUCACAUUAUCCCUUGGUUCACCCGGAGAUCUUUGGUUCAUAAUUAUCAUCUAUUUUUUUUCUGCCAUCCCUCCUAAAUCCCUGUAAUCAAGUUAAUUAGAUAUUUCAAAACAAACACAAUAAUAAUAACAACAGCAGCAGCAGCAGCAAUAAAAAUACUAAUAAACCUGAGUUUGACUUGGAUCUCAAUUUCAGUGGAGACCUUACUGUUUCUGUCUGCCCAGAUCUUGAUCUAUUGUAACCCACUCUCCACCACCAUGGUAGAGACCAUCCUACUAAGAGGGAAGCUCAGAGCAGUGAAGCUCUAACUCGGUAAAUACCUCUUAGAAAACUAGUCCUUAAUUUAGUCUCAUUGUCAACAAGAGCCCAUCCAGAUAAACAGGAAUUUAGACACUAUCUGCAACAAAUCCCCAGUCUUAAAC